ACAAGUGUAGUUUGUAAGUCGCUCUGGAUAAGAGCGUCUGCUAAAUGACUUAAA
rfam:Salmo salar isolate Sally breed double haploid chromosome ssa29, whole genome shotgun sequence.